rnacentral:rRNA from 1 species
GAUGAACGCUGGCGGCGUGCCUAAUACAUGCAAGUCGAGCGAACAGACGAGGAGCUUGCUCCUCUGACGUUAGCGGCGGACGGGUGAGUAACACGUGGAUCACCUACCUAUAAGACUGGGAUCACUUCGGGAAACCGGAGCUAAUACCGGAUAAUAUCUUGAACCGCAUGGUUCAAUAGUGAAAGACGGUUUUGCUGUCACUUAUAGAUGGAUCCGCGCCGCAUUAGCUAGUUGGUAAGUUAACGGCUUACCAAGGCAACGAUGCGUAGCCGACCUGAGAGGCUGAUCGGCCACACUGGAGCUGAGACACGGUCCAGACGCCUACGGGAGGGCGCAGUAGGGAAUCUUCCGCAAUGGUCGAAAACAUGACGGAGCAACGCCACGUGAGUGAUGAAGGUCUUCGGAUCGUAAAACUCGGUUAUGAGGGAAGAACAAAUGUGUAAGUAACUAUGCACGUCUUGACGGUACCGAAUCAGAAAGCCACGGCUAACUACGUG